UACGAAGGGGGCAAGCGUUGUUCGGAAUAACUGGGCGUAAAGAGCACGUAGGCGGUGGUAUGCGUUUGAUGUGAAAGACCUGGGCUCAACCUGGGAAUUGCAUCAAAAACGGUACUGCUAGAGAUCGAGAGGGGAAAAGGGAAUUGUGCGUGUAGAGGUGAAAUUCGUAGAUAUGCACAGGAACACCGGUGGCGAAGGCGCUUUUCUGGCUCGAAACUGACGCUGAGGUGCGAAAGCGUGGGGAGCAAACAGG
rnacentral:rRNA from 1 species